rnacentral:rRNA from 1 species
GCGGUGGAGCAUGUGGUUAAUUCGAAGCAACGCGAAGAACCUUACCAGGUCUUGACAUCCCGAUGCUAUUCCAGAGAUAGAAAGUUACUUCGGUACAUCGGUGACAGGUGGUGCAUGGUUGUCGUCAGCUCGUGUCGUGAGAUGUUGGGUUAAGUCCCGCAACGAGCGCAACCCCUAUUGUUAGUUGCCAUCAUUCAGUUGGGCACUCUAGCGAGACUGCCGGUAAUAAACCGGAGGAAGGUGGGGAUGACGUCAAAUCAUCAUGCCCCUUAUGACCUGGGCUACACACGUGCUACAAUGGUUGGUACAACGAGUUGCGAGUCGGUGACGGCGAGCUAAUCUCUUAAAGCCAAUCUCAGUUCGGAUUGUAGGCUGCAACUCGCCUACAUGAAGUCGGAAUCGCUAGUAAUCGCGGAUCAGCACGCCGCGGUGAAUACGUUCCCGGGCCUU